AGCAGCAGUACCAAUAAAAAGUUAAAAAGAAGAAGAAAUAAAAAGAAAAGAGGAAGAAGAAAGUUUUGAAAGCCUCAAUUACUGAAUUUUGUCCUAACAAAACUUUUUGGCAGCAGCAGCAGCGUGGGGGCCGUGCAACGCCGCCGCAUCUAAAUCGCCCGAUGAAUCAAUCUGGAGGGGGGCGCGUCCUCGUUGAUCGUCUUCCUCCGCCGAAUCACGGGAGGAGAGAGAGGAAUCCAGCGUUUCAGCGGUGCGCCGUGACGAGCGUCUCGAUGAAGCGGAGGCCGUCGAACCGCGGCGCGAACUUCUUGCCCUCCACCCGCUCCCCCGCCGGCGCCCGCUCCGCAUCCCUCGAUCCCUGCACGACGGCGGCCGAACCAAACCAAGGGGAAAGGAAGACGGUGAGGACCAGAUCAGAGGAGAUCGAGAGAAAAGGAAGGGGAAGGGGAAGGGGGGGGAUUCCCCGGGGGCGAACCUGGCUGUGUCGGAGGCGGAAGGCGUCGCACCGCCCG
rnacentral:lncRNA from 1 species